UAUUUUAAUUAUUUGUUAAAUGAAAGAUAAGAAGGGAACAAUUUAAUUUUGAAAAAGAGAGGGACAGUUACUGUAUAACUGGUUUAUCCACCCACUACUCUUGUACAUAUUCACUUCUUCUGAAAAAAAAAAUAACUAAAAAUAAAUAUUACGGUAAAUAAAAACAUUAACAAAAAUUUAAAAGGGAAUUUUUAGUUUGUGAAUCAAUACUCUGUUUUCAAGAGAAACAAAGUGGACUUGGGGCAGAUCCUUUCGGUAGCAAAAUCAAUUUCAUCUACUACGAAAUUUAUCAAGUGGGAGUUCUGGAUGUCAAGCAAAGAGACAAAGUGGAAAAGCACAUCGUCAAAAGGCAUGUUUCCGAGGUCGUGAGAUCAUACGAAAUGGUGUCCCAGUGCGACACAAAAUCUAUUACGGAAUGAAAGGGCUAUGCGAAGGGAAAGAGAGAAGAAAUUGAAAGAGUUCAAGUCUUUUAAGAUGUCACCUAGUAUCACAGUUGCUAGUUUUAUUCAUUUAUUUGAAUUAAAACGUGUAGAACUAGAAAACUAUAUGUAGAGAUCUCGGAUUGGGAAGCAUUAGCUAUUUUAGUAAAUUCUCUCUGUGACCUUGGGGCGAGAGAUUAAUUAAUGUUUAUCACGAGAUUUGACCAAGCAAGCCUUUUUGGGUGUAUAUAAGUCCUCUCGAAUAUUUGCGGGAA